GACGAACGCUGGCGGCGUGCUUAACACAUGCCAGUCGAACGGAAAGGCCCUGCUUUUGUGGGUUUCUCGAUUGGCGAACGGGUGAGUAACACGUGAGUAACCUGCCCUUGACUUUGGGAUAACUUCAGGAAACUGGGGCUAAUACCGGAUAGGAGCUCCUGCUGCAUGGUGGGGGUUGGAAAGUUUCGGCGGUUGGGGAUGGACUCGCGGCUUAUCAGCUUGUUGGUGGGGUAGUGGCUUACCAAGGCUUUGACGGGUAGCCGGCCUGAGAGCGUGACCGGGCACAAUGGGACUGAGAUACGCACCAGACUGCUACGGGAGGCAGCAGUGGGGAAUAUUGCACAAUAGGCGGAAGCCUGAUGCAGCAACGCCGCGUGCGGGAUGACGGCCUUCGGGUUGUAAACCGCUUUCGCAUGUGACGAAGCGUGAGUGACGGUAAUGGGUAAAGAAGCACCGGCUAACUACGUG
rnacentral:rRNA from 1 species